rnacentral:lncRNA from 1 species
CAGCUGCCUUGCUGGGGUGCUGGCUUCCAGCCCCCCAUCCUGCAGUACUAGUAUGUCUCUCUUGUUUCCUCUUUCGGCCUCACCUCGCAUCCAGGCAGCUGGGAAUCCUGGCCGGGUCCCCGAUACUUGGCGCCGGAACAGGGAGAUUCUGAUUAGGCCUGAGAGGGAUCCUCCACCCACUGGGCAGAAAGGAGAGGGUGCAGCCGCGAGGGGGCGCCGAGGCACGGAUUGGGGCGUCCAGACAGAGGAAGGGAGCGAGCGCCUUCAGUGUAGCUUCGGAAAAGACGCUCAGCCACUGGACCUUAAAGUGCAGUGCGACAGUUUUACAGCCACGGAUCUACGCGACAGUGAGGUGCUUGUUAUGCAUUUUAACCAAAAGGAGGAUGUUAAGAUGGAGUGACUUUAAGUGCCAGCAAACCUCGUCUGGUCACUGAGCUGUCUGAACCACGCUGAUGAUGCUGCCCCGAACACGGGUCCCUUCAGGAGGGGCACAGAACUGAGUUAACACCUCAAAGAUGCCAGCCAGGCAUGAGCGGGGCAGAGGCACAAGACUCAGCAAAUAAAAACGGAGGGUGCCAAGUUCGACUCUAACACCACAGUUGUCAUGAAAAAACCGAAUACAGGAAAGACAUUGGGCGUUGGAGGAAAUCACCGCACACAGAACACGCGCGCGCACACACACACACACACACACACACACACACACACACACACACACACGGGCGCCUGGCAGCCCCAGCAGGCUGGGAAACCACUGAGCCGCCCGCUCCACCGUGUGAUCUGUGGGUCUCCUCUGUGCCACAGAGAUUCACAGGCAUGAAGGGAAAGUGAAGAGGAAGCGCUUGGAGAUGUCCAAGACCGAUCAGAGCACACUGCUCUCUGUGCUCAUCAUGAUUUUCACUGGGUCUGAGUAAAAACAGUAAAUUCUAC